rnacentral:rRNA from 1 species
UACGUAGGGUGCGAGCGUUAAUCGGAAUUACUGGGCGUAAAGCGUGCGCAGGCGGUUCGUUGUGUCUGCUGUGAAAUCCCCGGGCUCAACCUGGGAAUGGCAGUGGAAACUGGCGAGCUUGAGUGUGGCAGAGGGGGGUGGAAUUCCGCGUGUAGCAGUGAAAUGCGUAGAGAUGCGGAGGAACACCGAUGGCGAAGGCGACUACCUGGCCUGUUCUUGACGCUGAGGCGCGAAAGCUAGGGGAGCAAACGGG